rnacentral:rRNA from 1 species
AGUGAACGCUGGCGGCAGGCCUAAUACAUGCAAGUCGAACGAACACACAGGAAGCUUGCUCCUCUGCGGUUAGCGACGGACGGGCGGGUAACACGUACAUAACCUACCUCUUUUACUUGGAUGACUACGGGAGACAACAUCUACUACCGGCUCAUAUAUCCUACCGGUGGAAUCAAUAGUUCAAGAGGCUUUUGCUGUUUCUUUUAGAUGGAUCCGGGCCGCAUUAGCUAGUUGGUAAGGUAACGCCUUACCAAGGCAACGAUGCGUAGCCGACCUGAGAGGAUGAUCGGCCACACUGGAACUGAGACACGGUCCAGACUCCUACGGGAGGCAGCAGUGGGGAAUCUUCCGCAAUGGGCGAAAGCCUGACGCAGCAACGCCGCGUGGGUGAUGAAGGUCUUCGGGUCGUAAAGCCCUGUUAUUGGGAAAGAACAGAUGUGUAAUUAACCACGCACGUUUUGACGGUACCUAAACAGUAAGCCACGGCUAACUUCGUG